rnacentral:rRNA from 1 species
CACGUAGGGGACGAGCGUUGUCCGGAUUCAUUGGGCGUAAAGCGCGCGUAGGCGGCCCGGAAAGUCGGAUGUGAAAGCCCACGGCUCAACCGUGGAGGGUCAUUGGAAACUGGGGAACUUGAGUGCAGAAGAGGAAAGUGGAAUUCCACGUGUAGCGGUGAAAUGCGUAGAGAUGUGGAGGAACACCAGUGGCGAAGGCGACUUUCUGGUCUGUAACUGACACUGAGGCGCGAAAGCGUGGGGAGCGAACAGG